GGGGAUGUAGCGCAGUUGGCAGCGCACUCACUUAGCAAACCACGCACUAGGUUGCGAGAGGUCCUCGAUUCGAAUUCGGGCUUGUCCA